CAGACAGUGCGGCAGGAAGGCCCUCACCAGAUGCCGGACUCUUGAUCGUGGAUUUCCCAGACUCCAGGACUUGUUUUCUUCAACAGCAAGGAGCCUGAUUUUGGAGUGAUGGCGUUGAGGACAUGCUACCCCAGAACGUGGCACCUUGGCAUCUGAGAAAACAGCAGAAGCAGGAAGUGUUGGAGGCUGGAAAGUCCACAGUCCAGGGGACACAGCUGGUGGGAGUCUUCUUCUUGGUGCUGACUUUCUACAGCAACAUAGGGUAUCUCACGGAUGUGACACCCUGCGGCGCUGAGGGCACCACCACAGAAGGCUGUCACUAGAUGUGUCCCUGGACUUUGGACUUCCCAGCCUCUGAACCUACACGAUGUGAAGGUGAGGGCAGAGAUUAGACCGAUGCUUCUACCAGCCAAGGGAUGCCAAGGAUGGCCAGCAAACCCGAGAUCUGGAGACAGGUCUGGAGCAGGUUCUGUCUCGCAGCCUCAGAAGAAACCCACCCCACCGUGCUGCCACCUAGACCUUGGGCUCAGGCCUCCAGAAUGGAACACCAUGAAAACCAGCCAGCACCACAGAUCUCCCCAAGUCAGGCUGUUCCAGUUAUUGCUUUGCCUCUGCCGUCCAUUAUGGUAACUACGCCCAUCUUGCCUCUGGUGGUUGAGGGCCGCCGCUUGGCCCCUGCCACCCGCGAUCCAAUUAGUCCCAUUUCAUAUUUAAGUUUUCCAGUUGACUGACUGCGAUUCCUGCUGUAAGGUCCAGUCUACAGAGAAGAGCAACCACAGAGCUCUUCAGGGAUGCUGGGUCUCCUCCCACAAAUCUGUUUCUCAAAGUAUUGGUGAAAGGUGUGUCUUCUGGAGCCUCACAGAGUGGGUUCAUGCCUCCCCCCAGUGGGUGGUCAGCUGGAUAACGACGCCCCCCUGAAGAUGUCCAGAGCUCCUUCUUGAUUGGGAUGGAAUAGAACUCAUCCACCAGAUGACUGCUCGAGUGGGGAUGUCACGGCUGGCACAGCAACUGCAACUGGGCCACUGUGCAGGCUCACGGCUGGAGAGAAAUUUGCCUCGGGAUGAAUCUUGAGUCUCACCCAUAUCUGACUUAGACGAGACUUUGGAGUUGGACUUUAAAGCUGAUGCUGGGAAAAUUAAGACUUUCGAAGCUAUUGGGAUAAAGCUUUGUUAUGGGAGACUGAAAUCAAGCUCAAAACUCGUUUCUCAAAAAAAUAAAAAUUAAUUCAAAGAAAAUUUUGCAGUAGUGGACUGGGAUCCUUCCUCAGAGGGACCCAGCCUCCCCUUCGUUUAAGGGCUUCUCGGCUUGUAAACUGGCUCAAGUCUGGGAAUUCUCUGCUUUUAUGACUUGGGUCAGACUUUUGUUCCUUGACCUGGCAAGUUUUCUGCUUCUACAGAUCAAGUAAGAAUUUAGUAGGCUUUCUGUGUAUUUCUCUUCUCAGAAACUAGCCAAUGCCUAAGGUCUGCAUAAGGCACGUUUUUCCGAUGGCUGCUUUGCCUCUGCUGUCCAUUGUGGUAGCUACACCCACCUUGCUUUGGUGGCUGAGUGCCACUCUGGGACCAAUUACUCCCACUGCAUUUAAAUUUUCUAAUUGAGUAACUGAUUCCUACUGUAAGGUCUGGCUUACAGGGAAAAGCGAGCAUGGAAUUCUUCGAGGAUGCUGGGGCUGCCCUCACAAAUCUAUUUCUCAAGGUAUUGUGACAGGUGUGUCUUCUGGGGCCUCCCAGGGUGGAUGAGUAGGUCUUAAGUGACAAAUCCUCUCCAGCUUUCCAAUCUCCCUAAGCCCUUGAAUCCCUUUGCCUACGUCAAACCUCUACGUUCCCCAUAUGCUCAC